CAGUCGCCACGGGAAUACGUAGGGUGCAAGCGUUAAUCGGAAUUACUGGGCGUAAAGCGUGCGCAGGCGGUUUUGUAAGACAGAUGUGAAAUCCCCGGGCUCAACCUGGGAACUGCAUUUGUGACUGUAUAGCUAGAGUACGGCAGAGGGGGAUGGAAUUCCGCGUGUAGCAGUGAAAUGCGUAGAUAUGCGGAGGAACACCGAUGGCGAAGGCAAUCCCCUGGGCCUGUACUGACGCUCAUGCACGAAAGCGUGGGGAGCAAACAGGAUUAGAUACCCCUGUAGUCCCUGUCUCUUAUAA
rnacentral:rRNA from 1 species